UCCAGAGUCAAAAGAAAAAGAAACAUUGCGCGCUUGGAUCGUUGGCGCUGCACUACGUCUCACCCGGUGCUGCGGUUGACGACGCGGCGACGACAGGUCCAGCGCUCACGACGACGACGCCGAAUACACGGCGAUUUUCUUCAGCGCCCGAGGGGGACUUGCUUCGAGCAACAAAGCAAGAAAACGUGCGUCCCAUAUGGAGACUCCACAGAACACCUACCAGCUUGGCGGCAAGGGAUUGUAUAACCUGCACAGACAGCACUUAAAUGGGGAUCGAUUCAUGGUAUCAUCACAUCACUGUGUCAUCGAUUUCGAAACAAUCAUUAUCAAUUUGUGGAUUGGUGUCACAUGCAUACCAACCCCUGUGAUAUUACAGUUGUGUUGCAGUACUUACGAAUAAACCGAAUAAAAAUACACAGGUAGGA